GAUACAAUCAUCUCUUCAUCUCUUCAUCUCCUUGUUAUCUCCCCUUGAAACUCUACCUUACUUUCCGCGUCAGCCUCUCCUUCCUAAUUUACCUUUUGCACCCGCUUCUCUUCUGUAACUUAUCAUCUUUUUAGUAUAAAAAUUAUAUCACCACCAUCCACAACAAUCAUUGUUAUGUUAUUUUUCGAUAUAUCAGGUGUAUGAUGAUGAUGAUUUGUGUCCAAUUCAUGCAUAAUCGUAUUUGUGGGAAGAAUUAUCUGAAAUAAUGAAGAAAAUGCUCCAGUGCGACUUGAAAUCCCCGUCCUUGAGACAUCAUGUCCAUCCUGCUAACAUUUGGACCAGGCGCCUCAGACGGAUGAGGCUGAAGAAAACCCUCUCCAAUAUUAAGAUCACCAUAAAGUUCAUCAUACUCAUCAUCAUCGCCAA